UUUGAUGUUGCGUGAAGCAUA
rnacentral:piRNA from 1 species